rnacentral:rRNA from 1 species
AGUGGCGGACGGGUGAGUAACGCGUGAGAAUCUACCUUCAGGACGGGGACAACAGCUGGAAACGGCUGCUAAUACCCGAUAUGCCGAAAGGUGAAAAGUUAUUUCGCCUGGAGAGGAGCUCGCGUCCGAUUAGCUAGUUGGUGAGGUAAAAGCUUACCAAGGCGACGAUCGGUAGCUGGUCUGAGAGGAUGAGCAGCCACACUGGAACUGAGACACGGUCCAGACUCCUACGGGAGGCAGCAGUGGGGAAUUUUCCGCAAUGGGCGAAAGCCUGACGGAGCAACGCCGCGUGGGGGAAGAAGGUUUUUGGAUUGUAAACCCCUUUUUCUCAAGGAAGAACAAAAUGACGGUACUUGAGGAAUCAGCCUCGGCUAACUCCGUGCCAGCAGCCGCGGUAAUACGGAGGAGGCAAGCGUUAUCCGGAAUUAUUGGGCGUAAAGCGUUCGUAGGCGGCUGUUCAAGUCUGCUGUCAAAGACCGAGGCUCAACCUCGGGUAGGCAGUGGAAACUGGAUAGCUAGAGGUCGGUAGGGGCAGAGGGAAUUCCCAGUGUAGCGGUGAAAUGCGUAGAUAUUGGGAAGAACACCGGUGGCGAAAGCGCUCUGCUGGGCCGAACCUGACGCUGAGGGACGAAAGCUAGGGGAGCGAAUGGGAUUAGAUACCCC